UCUCCGUUGGUGAACCAGCGGAGGGAUCAUUAUCGAGUUUAUUCAACUCCCAAACCCUAUGUGAACUUACCACUUGUUGCUUCGGCGGCGCUCCGGCGCUGCCGGGGGUAUCAAACUCUUAUUGUUUUUACAGCAUUAUCUGAGUGGCCGAAAGGCAAAAAACAAAUGAAUCAAAACUUUCAACAACGGAUCUCUUGGUUCUGGCAUCGAUGAAGAACGCAGC
rnacentral:misc_RNA from 1 species